rnacentral:rRNA from 1 species
UACGAAGGGGGCUAGCGUUGUUCGGAAUUACUGGGCGUAAAGCGCGCGUAGGCGGCUUUUCAAGUCAGGGGUGAAAUCCCACGGCUCAACCGUGGAAUUGCCUUUGAAACUGUGAAGCUAGAGUGUCGGAGGGGAUAGCGGAAUUGCUAAUGUAGAGGUGAAAUUCGUAGAUAUUAGCAGGAACACCGGUGGCGAAGGCGGCUAUCUGGACGACAACUGACGCUGAGGCGCGAAAGCGUGGGGAUCAAACAGG